rnacentral:rRNA from 1 species
UGGGGAAUAUUGCACAAUGGGCGCAAGCCUGAUGCAGCCAUGCCGCGUGUAUGAAGAAGGCCUUCGGGUUGUAAAGUACUUUCAGCGGGGAGGAAGGGAGUAAAGUUAAUACCUUUGCUCAUUGACGUUACCCGCAGAAGAAGCACCGGCUAACUCCGUGCCAGCAGCCGCGGUAAUACGUAGGUGGCAAGCGUUGUCCGGAUUUGUUGGGCGUAAAGCGAGCGCAGGCGGUUUCUUAAGUCUGAUGUGAAAGCCCCCGGCUCAACCUGGGAACUGCAUCUGAUACUGGCAAGCUUGAGUCUCGUAGAGGGGGGUAGAAUUCCAGGUGUAGCGGUGAAAUGCGUAGAGAUCUGGAGGAAUACCGGUGGCGAAGGCGGCCCCCUGGACGAAGACUGACGCUCAGGUGCGAAAGCGUGGGGAGCAAACAGG